GCCGUAGCUCAGUGGUGGAGCAUCUGUUUUCCAUGCAGAAGGACCCAAGUUCAAUCCUCGAUGGAAGAUCCA